GUGGCGGACAGAGCCAGGCUCGCGGAGGUUGGGGGAGAAGUUCCUGUGCGGCCGCACGCCGUGGACGACAGCUGUGACUGUGGAGUGUGGCCCGUACAGCGGAUGACGGCUGCAGCAGGCCUCUCGACUACUGGGGGUGCUGCUGGGACCAGAGAACGGCCGUCCGGUCAGAGCAGGCCUGGUGAGUCGACCCCCAGGGCUGUUGGGGUACAGAGGGGAAUAAAAAAAAGGAGGUUGGUAGGCAGGGCCCCCUUUACCCAGUCAAGCUCUGCUGAGGGUAUGGCAGCAAGAAGGAGCUUGGGCAGCAGUGAGGUCUUGGCACCCUUGAGGGUUUCGAGGGUAGGUGGAGAUGCAUCCCAGACAAGCAGCAUGAAACGGCAGGGGGAGGAUGGGCUGCAGGCAUCCCCUUCCAGAGCGCAGCAGCUUCAGAUGGCAGGUCAGAGUGCCGAGCAUAGGAUGCUGGUGACAGGUGCCGACGUCACAGCAGGACACAGCAGGGCUCCCUCACCGAGUGGCGCGGGUGCAGGGUGCUUUAAGACGGCUGGCCAGCGGGUGGGCAGAGAUAGCCGCACUCAGGACAGAGAUGCCAGGUCCUCAGGGCAGCACAGGUCUAGCGGGGUUGGCAGGAGGUCUUCUCGCCAACGCUCCAGG